UACGAAGGGGGCUAGCGUUGCUCGGAAUCACUGGGCGUAAAGGGUGCGUAGGCGGGUCUUUAAGUCAGGGGUGAAAUCCUGGAGCUCAACUCCAGAACUGCCUUUGAUACUGAGGAUCUUGAGUUCGGGAGAGGUGAGUGGAACUGCGAGUGUAGAGGUGAAAUUCGUAGAUAUUAGGAAGAACACCAGUGGCGAAGGCGGCUCACUGGCUCGGUACUGACGCUGAGGCGCGAAAGCGUGGGGAGCAAACAGG
rnacentral:rRNA from 1 species